UCAGGGCACUGUUUACGCGAUUGGAGGAUGUGCCAAACGUCCUAACGUUUGAAGCAUGCGGGGAGGUUGUUUGAAACGUUUGACGCCGUUAGCUUUCAAAACCCACGCGGCCACACCAACUCUUUUGCUUCUACAGUGACGCUGAGUACUUUGCCUAAAACCUCCGUUCGUCGCCGGAGAAAUGAAAACUCCGGUGAUUGAUCCUUCUAUACGUCGCUGAAUGUCCGUAUUUCCGUUCUUCGCCGUCACGUCUUUCACGAACCUUGCUUUAAGCGUUCCUAAAAAUGGAGAGCAGCAGUUGAAGGUAGAAGAGAAUAGAUUUCUCUGGUUUUAGUCUCGCUAAAGAACAUGCCUCCUUUGACUAUCCAGCCAUUAGAUGGCCAUUUGCUUGAAGAGUCUGUCGUGAAAUCGCGUCUCAAGAGGCUCUUAGAGCGGCAAAAGUUCCUGAGUGUUCUGAGGUUUUCAUCGACUGAGAAGCCCAUCCUUGGUGAACAACAGUAUAACAAAGAUGCUACUAACAACAACAACGAUUGGGAGCCGAGUUCUGUGUGUUUGGUCAAGAUGGUUUAGAACUUCAUUGAAGAGAACAAUGAAAAGCACUCCUCAACUGCCAAAUGCAGACAAAAUCGAUGCAAUUGCUUCAAUGGAAAUUGCAAAGAUAGCUACGAGAUGAAUUCGACUUGCGCAAUUGUUUCGGUGAACCGAUGCCGGUGGCUUCCUGUGGCGAUGUCUGCGAAUUUCUCAAGAGCUUGGUUCCUUGUGCGAGCGUUGUCGAGAGAAACCUCUUAGUGGACACUGCGAAGAUCAUAGAGAAGAACAAGAGCUGCAAACUUAAGGAUGCUUGCAAAAAAGAUCGUCACUGAUGGUCUUAUUAGUCUUGGCUAUGGUGCAUCUAUCUGCAAAUCGCGUUGGGAAAAAUCUCCAUUUUAUCCUGUUGGAGAAUACGAAUACAUAGACAUUAUUGUGGAAGGUGAACGAUUGAUAGUCGACGUAGACUUUCCGAUCAGAAUUCGUGAUUCCACCACUGGUGAUGGUUGUUUGUUGCCAGCGGUAAUAAUUGUUAAGUCGCCAUCGGAUGGAAGAGGGAGAGAGAGGGAGAGAGAGGGAGAGAGAGGGAGAAGAGAAUUUGUGACACUCGAGCGAAAGGAAGGGGCUCGAAAAAUGGGUUUUAAAAGCUAAUGGCGUCAAACGUUUCAAACAACCUCCCCGCAUGCUUCAAACGUUUACACGAGUGGAGGCGCGUCCUCCAAUCGGCCCUGACCGAAGCUGCCUGAACUGAAGCCGGAAUCACAUAUUUACUAGCUGUCGUACUUUACAAAAAUUCUCAUUUUUAC